UGAGGAACAUGACCUUCGGCGGGGGAUAGCCGGCCCAACGGCCGGGUAAUACCGCGUACGACCGUCUAGGGACAUCCCUGGAUGGUGAAAGCAGCAAUGCGCCGAUGGAGUGCCUCGCGGCCUAUCAGCUAGUUGGUGAGGUAACGGCUCACCAAGGCGACGACGGGUAGCUGGUCUGAGAGGAUGGCCAGCCACAGUUGGGACUGAGACACGGCCCAGACCUCCGUAGGGACGG
rnacentral:rRNA from 1 species